UAGGACAGAAUCCCUGGUAGAUUGACCAUCCAGCCACUGCUUAAUAAGCUCUAAUAGAGGAGAGUCCACCACUUCUCAAGAUAUCAGAUACACGUCCUUUUCACUCCCUGCUACCUGAACUUUUCAACAAGAAGCCAGGGAUUCAGUUGAGGAGCUUCUGAGUGCAAAGGACACGCGUACCUAUGGGACCGCCUCUCCUGGUAUGUCCCACGGAGGACCUUACGGUCUGCAGACAAAAACAUCUUGGAGGUCCCAGGCCACAGGGAGGUUAGGCUGGCCUCAACCAGAGCCAGGGCUUUUUCGGCCGUGGCCCCUAUCUGGUGGAACACUCUGUCACAAGAGACUAGGGCCCUGCGGGGCUUGACAUCUUUCCACAGGGCCUGCAAGACAGAGCUGUUCCACCAGGCCUUUGGCCAAGGCACAGUCUGCCCCCCUCCUUCUGUAAUCCUCACAGAACUCUAGCCCAAUGGUGGCCAUUAAUUUGACUCUGAAUUGAUUUUAGAAUGAAUUGAUUUUAGAAUGUAUUUCAAUUAAUAGACUGUGAUUUUAUGUAAACUGUGUUACUUUUACUGUUGUUAGCUGCUCUGAGCCCAGCUUCAGCUGGGGAGGGCAGGAUAUAAAUAAAAUUUUAUUAUUAUUUAUCAUUAUUCUUAACUUUAACCCUUAUAACAACCCUGCGUAAAGUAGGUUAGCAUUGUUAUCCCCAUAUUGCAGAAGUGAGGUUGAGGCUGAGAUGUAGUGACUCUCCUAAGGCCACUUAGUGAGGUCAUGGCAGAGUCAUGAUUCCUGAUUUGCUAGCUCACUCUCUUAGCCACCCUGGCUCUUAGUUAUUAUGAUUGAUUUCCAUCUGGAUUGUUAAGAAAUGAUUUAUUCUUUAUGAAAUCAUGCUCCCUAAAAAAAAAGGAAAGAAAAAUGUUUUUAGCAAACCAGAUUGCAUGUGUACUAUGUUUGAAAAGGAAUUUCUAAAUAGAGCACAACAGGGGAAAUAAUUUAAGCAUAAUAAAGCAUAUGAAAUGCAACAUUGUUAAGAGUGUUAUCUUGAUUGAUGGCUUGUUUAAGCCAUAGCCGUAAGAAGUGAAAUGAUGAGUGAAUAUUGAUGGGCAUUUUUCUAAGUGGUAACUUAACCAGGGCAAGCAUUUAACAACUUCGAGAGCUGGUUGUGUCUGGAUUGCCCUGCCAAGUGAUGAGGAGAAGCUUACUGCACUUCUGCCCUUGAAAAGGAAUUGUUGUUGGCAUCUACCAGUCUCAAGAGACAAUGGAGUGCACCUCUGCAGGUGAAGUCAUACUGCUGGAGAAUCACAGCGCCUGCUGUGGCUGCAGAGACCAGAAACUCAUAGCUGCUGCUUCCCAUGUUGUUUUUUCCUUUGUUAGCAGCACUGAAGUGACCUCUCUGGGAUGCAAGCCCAGAAAGUGUGUAUGGAGGUCUUGGGCUGCCCAGAUGACAAGACCUCCCUCUUGGGCUCACUGAUGUGGUGCAAAGGAAAGCAGAGCAGUACAUUUGGCACCAGCUUGGCUGCAGGAAUUGCCGGGUGGAGGCAUACAAGGAUGCCAUCCAGCGUUCCCCCCCCCCCAGCUGGAGUGUACUGGAGUGAAGUUCUGGCACUUCUCAGGUGGGCACAAUUGCAGGCUGGUACUCCCCCUGCCUUUAUGUACUUUUGAGAGGCUCAAAACAAACAUUUCAACACAAACCAGAAGCUAGCCAGAGUGUCUGAAUCUAUCCUUUUUUUCAGAGUAUGACUCCACCUAGCUCCUAGCUAGGGACGCGGGUGGCGCUGUGGGUAAAACCAUAGAGCCUAGGACUUGCCGAUCAGGUCGUCGGCGGUUCGAAUCGCAGCUACAGGGUGAGCUCCAGUUGCUCAGUCCCUGCUCCUGCCAACCUAGCAGUUUGAAAGCACGUCAAAGUGCAAGUAGAUAAAUAGGUACCGCUCCCGCGGGAAGGUAAACGGCGUUUCCGUGCGCUGCUCUGGUUCUCCAGAAGCGGCUUAGUCAUGCUAGCCACAUGACCCAGAAGCUGUACGCCGACUCCCUCAGCCAAUAAAGCGAGAUGAGCGCCACAACCCCAGAGUUAUCCGCGACUAGACCUAAUGGUCAGGGGUCCCUUUUUACCUUUACCUUUACCUAACUCCUAGCUGCUCCUAGCCAUGAUUGGUCAAGCUAUGGGGAAGUGCCAAUGCAUAUUUCCUUUUCUUCAAUCCUUCUCCCAUGUAGCAGUAGUGGGCUUUAAACUUUCCAAUCAGGCCUCUACUGUUGCAUGUGUGCACAUUUUCAUGAGGGUCCUUCUGGGCUGCCCUAGCCAUCCGCCUGAAUCUAAGAGAAUGAGGGAGGUGGGUGCAUUUAUUUGACCCAACUCAGCAAAAAAAAAAUGAUAAAUCACCUGAGGCCAGUGCAGUUAAAUCUUUCUUCAAGGAAACAAACCACAGGCCUGGUGAUCUCAGCAGCAGUUUCCAUGAGGUCUUGUUCCAAUGAAGUAGCCUGUCUCCACUCUGCUUCUUGGCCACCCUCUAUUCCAGCCUCUACUUCAGUCUCAGAGUCAGAGUCUGAACUGCUCUCUGCCACAGCCUCCUCCUGUUCACUAAAUCCUGUCACCUCUCCUGCUGCUAACACCUCCUCUUCCUGGUUUGCUCCUUCGCCUUUUGACCACUCAUCAUCGUCCCACCACCAGUGCCCUGGCUGUAUGCCUUCUUCCCCUGGGGGUUCCCUAGGGGGUUCCCCAGCUGCUGCCUCCCACCGCUCCUCUGCACCCAGCCAGUCCACGACACAAACCCUUUAAGUACUCAUAAAUCACAUAAAUCACACAAUGAAAAAAUGCCCCAUGUUCCCCCAAUGAAGUCACACUUCUUUAGUUUAAAGGGACGGAGCAAGGUUAAUUUACAGAAACUCAUUAUCUUUAUAGCCUGUCCCCCUGAUCCGGCUAAUUCUAUUCACCAACACAUUUUCACUGGCAGAUCUAAUGCUCUGGAUACACAAAGGCCUAAUUCUCUUAGAAUGGAGCACAUUGGGGAAUACAUCAACCAAUUCCAGAAGUGCAAGCCCAACCCCACAAAGACCCCCACAGGAAUACCUACACACCACAAGGUUUUGCACACAUCAUUGUUUGCUCACUAUGCAAUUUGCAACCAGAGCAAUGCCUUUCUCUUUACUGGGUAACUGGAAAAUGAAGGACUUUGUUCCAAUGCAAUUCCAGCUCCAAUGCAAAUGGACCUGAUCCUUGCCUCUUGAGUUAAUCCCUGGAUUGUAAUGGAAUUAUCCACCGGUUUUUACACUUCCUGAAUGUUCUGAUGCAUUUUGAUGUUGCUUUUGAUCUGAGAAUUGCUUUCAGAAAUGCAUAUUUUGAGAGAACUUGCUUUAACAAAUGUACAUUUAAAAUAGCAUUUUAAUGCAUAUUUGCGGGUGUGCAGAUUUGACCGUAGAUUAAUGACAAACAGGAUGGAACAGACACAUGAGAGAAUGGGUGCAGACCAGAAAUAGACUGAUAUGUUGAAGCCUAGUUGGCAAUUUCUCUCAUAAGAAUGCAGAUGUUUCCUCCAGUUGCUGGGCAAGUGCAGAACCUGCUCCCCAGUCAUCAAUCUCUGGAUGAUUUGAAUACAGCCAACUCCCUUAGGAGGUUAAUGUUCCACCAGUGAUUAUUAUUAUUUUUUUUAAAUGAUAUUUAUUAAGAAUUUUAAAAUUACAGG